GCACAGGCGUUGCAUGGCUGUCGUCAGCCCGUGGUGUCAAGCCGUCCAGUUUUCUGGGCACGGGCAUCUCCCCAGUUCAGCAGAAGUUUUAUUUAGAUUUGUUUAAAGGUUGUAUAAUUUAAAAGUGUUAAAGCAAUUAGCUUAUACCACUCUUUUUUAAACUUUGCGAGAAAUUGUCUAGUUAUUCGUCCACAACAAUGACAGGACUCUAAAGAAUGAUUAGAAGGAGGUUGGGACCACGUCAAGUCUUCAUGGCCCAUAUGGAGUGGGCUACACGUGUGUGACAAGGGCCGUUUCAAUGUUUUUUGAAAAAAUUCAAAAAAAGAAUAAACACGGUCAUAGUACGGAUGGUUGUUUGCAACUCCACAACCUGAAGCAGGAAUCGCCAGUAAUCGCGGAUUAGCCCGCCGCGGUGAAAAUUAGAAGCUUACCCGGGGCAUUCACCGCCCGUCACGUUCGGAAAGUUUUAUGCAUUGGAAAUAGUCUUGAGUUUUUUAGGUUUUUUCCUAUAAAAAAGUUUGAUCUUUUUUAACUAAAAACUUAAAAAUGCAGGACUAUCAAAGUGUGUAUCGCGAUUGGAAUGAAGUCGUAACAAGGUUGCUGUACGGGAACGUGUAGCAG
rnacentral:rRNA from 1 species